CUAGGAUCAGUUUUGCAUUUGAGAUCAUAAUGAAUACAAUUAUUUGGGCAAGGUUGAGCCCACACCUUAUCUGAUGAACUUUAUGUAUACGGGCCCUGGUGUUACAUGUCUGCCAUCAUUUGAGAUCUAGAAUCUGUUCUGUUCUAUCCUAGGCAAAAAGUAAGAGGAGUGGCAAGAAGUCAAGGAAGCUGGACACUGACAAUGAUGCAGUCUCCAGGAAUAAACACCUGGAUAGAGGAUCUGUAAUUGAGCUCCUGGAGAAGAAAGCUGUUCAGGCUGCAUUCGGCCCAGGCAACAAGGAUGAGAUGGAAUACUCCUACCCAAUCCUCAUCUCAUUCCUGCGCAAUCUUACUGAUGAGCAGUGGCAAGUGAUCUACAAAGGACUAAAAAACCCUAUGACGAAGGAACAGCUUGCCAAAUUGUGCAAGACAAUUGUAACCUUCAUCGCACAGACCACCCUGCAGAUCCUGCUGCCAGCCCUGGCCCGCGUACUUGGGGUAAAGGACUUUGCUGACGACGACACUGACUCACUCAAGAGGAGUGGCAGUGCAAGAUCCUUUGCUGCCUUUGAUCAGGAAAGACUGGAGCUCAUCCAGGAAGUUAGAUAUCUCGCGAAGAAAAUGUAUAAGGGCGGCACAGGGGCUCAACAUCUCAGGUCCCUAACACCCUCUUCUAAGAGUUCCCAGACCUCAGUGAAAGUCCUCCUGGGAAUGACAGAGGACAGAAUCAUCAAAAGUGUCCAGGAGCAACUGUCUGAUCAUAAUAUCCUGUCCUCUUGCCCACCUGAGCUGACUGUUGGUCUUAUCAAGGUGGUGGUCGAACAGCUUAACUCUGCCCUCUCUGCGACCAUCAGCAGAGCUAUUUCAGGGCGGUCCUCCCCUAUUUCUUCUGGUACCCAGGCCGCUGAACAAAUGGUCAACAUGGUCCUGAAAUGUUUUGAUGAUCACACCACCCCAGAGGACCAGAGCUCUACCUCUGUAUUAGAGUCAUGCAUUCCACCUGCAACAGAAGAAGUGAUGACUGUUAUCGCAGAGAUGGUGGGUGAAUUGGAAAAAGAAGAUCCGGAAUUGGCUAAGGUUUUUCGAGAAGUGGCUGUGAAAGUUAAAAUGUUGGCAUCUGGCAGUGACCUUGUAGUGGAGCACCUGGAUGUUGAAGACUCUCCUGUUCCAGAGGAGCUGAACAUAAUAUGUACAUCUUGCAAAGCAAUGAUGCAAAAUCUUGGCACUCUGUUUAGUGUGAAGUUCAAGACCAAAGCCUCAAAGGCUGUGAGUGAAAUUCUUGUGAGAAGGUUAAUGAGCGAUAUCUCUGGUAUGGUUCAACCUUCUCAUUCGUUUAGUACCACUCCAAGCUUGAUGAAUGCAUCUAGCCCAUCUGACAGGAUCCUUGAUUCUGUGGCCACUGAGCUCAUACAGACCAAAGUAGAAUCUGAGGCAUCACAAAUAAUUGAUAACUUUGUUGAAGAUGUCAAGGACAUUGUGCAGUAUGCUGAAUUAGAUCAGCCAACAAGCACCCAGAGAGAUACCCAAGUGGGACACUGUACGACAAAGCGGAAACCCUUCCAUGCAGCUCGUAGACUCUGCGAGAGACUUCAGGCAAAGCUGGAGACAUUGUUCCUCAGAAUGGGUGGAGCUCCAGUCCAAGGGGAAGAACUUAUGGAAAAAGCUGACUCCAGUGCUGUGCUUCUGGAGCAUACUGACUCCAGUGAUCUGCCUGUUUCAAUCCUGAGCUUGCCUUCCCCAUGUAGGAGUGAAUCCCCUAUAUCAGAACGUAGUUCAUCUUCUUUAUCUGAUGGAUGUGAUUCAACUGACUCUGUAGGAGAGAAAACACCAGAGCAACCUGAAACCAGUAAGAGUGAGGCAAUACUGCAAGUGGUAAACUCAACAGGACUUGGUUCUCUCCGUAAAUGCCAAAGUGAGAACUCUCAACCAUUACUGUCUCUCUGUGAUUCCAACAUGGUGCCCUGCACCAAAGAGGUCUUGUCCCAGAUUGUGACCAUGUAUAGGUCAGAGGUGGCAGAUUUGGAAUGCACAUCAUCUGUUGCAGAGGGUUCCUCUUACAACUCCCUUGAAGUCUGUGGCUUUUUGGACAGUGUCAUGUCUUAUCUAGAAGACAUGCCUGUGUCUGGUUCUUCAUGGUUGGAAGGAUUAAGAGAUACUCCAGCCUCAGUCAUUGAGAAACUCUCCA